GAUGAACGCUGGCGGCGUGCCUAAUACAUGCAAGUCGAGCGAACAGACGAGAGUGCUUGCACUCUCUGACGUUAGCGGCGGACGGGUGAGUAACACGUGGGUAACCUACCUAUAAGACUGGGAUAACUUCGGGAAACCGGAGCUAAUACCGGAUAAUAUUUAGCUUCGCAUGAAGCAAUAGUGAAAGACGGUUCUGCUGUCACUUAUAGAUGGACCCGCGGUGUAUUAGCUAGUUGGUGAGGUAACGGCUCACCAAGGCAACGAUACAUAGCCGACCUGAGAGGGUGAUCGGCCACACUGGGACGUAGACACGGCCCAGACUCCUACGGGAGGCAGCAGUAGGGAAUCUUCCGCAAUGGACGAAAGUCUGACGGAGCAAUGCCGCGUGAGUGAAGAAGGUUUUCGGAUCGUAAAACUCUGUUGUAAGGGAAGAACAAGUACGUUAGUAACUGAACGUACCUUGACGGUACCUUACCAGAAAGCCACGGCUAACUACGUG
rnacentral:rRNA from 1 species